rnacentral:rRNA from 1 species
UACGUAGGGGGCAAGCGUUGUUCGGAUUUAUUGGGCGUAAAGAGCGCGUAGGCGGCCAGAUAGGUCUGUUGUGAAAACUCGAGGCUCAACCUCGAGACGCCGAUGGAAACCAUUUGGCUAGAGUCCGGAAGAGGAGAGUGGAAUUCCUGGUGUAGCGGUGAAAUGCGCAGAUAUCAGGAAGAACACCCGUGGCUAAGGCGGCUCUCUAGUACGGUACUGACGCUGAGACGCGAAAGCGUGGGGAGCGAACAGG